CAGUCGCCGCGGUAAUACGAAGGGUGCAAGCGUUAAUCGGAAUUACUGGGCGUAAAGCGUGUGUAGGCGGUGAGUUAAGUCUGCUGUGAAAUCCCCGGGCUCAACCUGGAAUGGCAGUGGAUUCUGGCUCGCUAGAGUGUGUCAGAGGAUGGUGGAAUUCCCGGUGUAGCGGUGAAAUGCGUAGAGAUCGGGAGGAACAUCAGUGGCGAAGGCGGCCAUCUGGGACAACACUGACGCUGAGGUACGAAAGCGUGAGGAGCAAACAGGAUUAGAUACCCCGGUAGUCCCUGUCUCUUAUACA
rnacentral:rRNA from 1 species